rnacentral:lncRNA from 1 species
GCACCACAAAGAGAGGAAAACUCCCACUCUGUUCUUUGCUGCAAUCGAGAGAAUAUAGUAUGCUGCUAGUAAGACUGGAAAUGGCACUUUCCUGUGAUUAGGAAGAAGACAGGUGCAGACUGAUGCUAGUUCCAGUGAAGUAGUGAUCAGUGGAAUUUGAAAGAAAGCAGUCCAUGUGUGGCUCAACUAGGUCCUGUGCUUGGGAGUUGCAUCACAUGUUGGUCAGGGCUGCAGUCUCAUUGAACCACAGAAAGAGCUGCUUCCAAGAUUUCUUAUAUUGAUAGUGGAAUUUAUCUCCUUGUGGCACUCUCUGCUCUUAGAAGCUGCCUUUGCCAGGAGAAGAAAGAAGACAACCAAAAGCAUUUAAAUAUAGAAGAACUCAACCCUUACAUAAGAUGUAAUCCCACCAGAACAAGUUUCACAGCUGUUGGCAAAAUGCCUGAAAUCACUGCAACAGGACUGACCAUUCAAAAAGGGAGGAAUUGCUUCCUGCAAGUGGCCAAGCUCUUUUAUGCAGCUUGUAGGUUUUCUAGAGCAAAACUUAGAUUAAAAUCCAUCAUACAUAUUUUUAGCCUGGGUGUUGGAUAUAUUUACAUAUAUUGUGUCAUUAUUUCUUCCAGGAAUACUAAAUAUAAUAAUAUGUAAGUGUUAUAGAGGCAGUGAUAGGCAAAUGAAUUGAAAUAAUCUCUAACAAGCAGCAACACUUGAGAAAUUUCCACUCAUAUUUUAUUUACACCUAGAGGUUUAAUAGUUGUCGUAUAUGGCAGAGUUUGCACAGACUUCUGCAUGGAAAGUUGCCAUUUGCUCACUGUUUUAGUCUAGCUCGAUUGUGCAUCAGUGUUGCUAUUCAGGAUGACACACAAAAGACUGAAGAAGUUUAGACUACAUUCUGUGGAGCAGUUCACCUGCAUUCCAAGGCAGUUUUGUCUGUGCUAGACUUUCACAAUUUUCCCUCAGUACCCAAAAGAUGCACCUCCAGUGUAUUUCUAUUUUCAUUUCAGCACAUAGUUACUCAUUGAGGGAACUUGCAGGCAUGCUUUUGAACAGGUCUCACAUAAUCCAAGAAAAACUGAGGAGCAACAUAUAGAAUUUUGUGUUUUGUGAAUUGAUAGUUGUGCUUUGAUCUUACUUUUGCUUUCCCUGGCCUUUUAAUGGUGAGAAGCUAGUCCUGUUUUAUCUUCUCUCAUUAAAGUUACUGAUAAACAUUCUCUUAAAAAGUCCCUAAGAAGUGAAUUGGGUUUUCUAUUCAUUUUUGACAGGUUGGAAAAGUAAAGACAGAACUUUCUUUUGUGACUUGUGCUAUAAAUAUGUUUUAAAAUCUUCUACUUACCUGUUUGACCCAAUUUUUUUUUACAGUUACC